ensembl:lncRNA
UUGAGCACACCAGUUUUCAUUCACUCUUUCAUCUUACAGCAAACUUUAUGUAAUGAAUAGUAAAUGAGUGAACAAGUCAGCGGUUUUGGACACAGCAUGUGGAUGAAUGCAUAAAAUGGCUCGUUUAAGUCAUCUCAUGUACCCUGAGAGUUCACCAAUGCAGUGAGUUAAGAUGUUUGGAGUCCAAAAAACACAGAGACUGUUCCACAGAAGAAAGUAAGUCAUUCAGAUAAAUUUUGAUGCAGCAGUGUAUCCAUAUAUCUACUUUGCUUUUGUGAGCCAUCACAUUUGGAGUGUCGCUGAAAAGUUGCCACCUGGACAACAAGAAGUAGAAGUCAUGAGAGGAAAAGAGGCCUGAACGUGCAGUGGAAAUUCUUCAGUCACUUCCUAUACUCUCAAAGGUGUGUUUAUCUGUCUAACCAUCCAGUCAGCCAG